rnacentral:tRNA from 1 species
GGAGAGGUGGCCGAGCGGUCGAAGGCGGCACCCUGCUAAGGUGUUAUACGGGUAAUCCCCGUAUCGAGGGUUCGAAUCCCUCCCUCUCCGCCA